rfam:Halostagnicola sp. A56, whole genome shotgun sequence.
AGUCCCGUGGUGUAGUGGCCAAUCAUCUGAGCCUUUGGAGCUCAGGACGGCAGUUCGAAUCUGCCCGGGACUA